GUUCCAGAAGCCCUCCCUUACAUCUUCAUAAAUUUGUUUGAGGGCUCUUAACUUCUCUCUUAUUUAUAUCGCUGUAUAUCUGCUUGUUUAGAAGCUCUAUUUUUCUGUUUGUCUUUGUUCAAACCGUUUGUUUCUUACUUGAUUCAAUCAGGGGAUUGAAUCAAGGGUGUAAAGGUUUGUUGGUGAGCCUAGGUUGAAACCAACGUGUAAGGGUUUGAUUGUGAGCCUGGAAAAACAAUCGGGUGGUUCUAGUUGGUGAGCCUGGGAAAACCGACCGAGUUCGUUGUGAUCUCGCAAAACAACAAGUUAGGUUGUGAGCUUGUAAAAUAAGCGGCUGUAAUCCGAGGGGUUAUAGUGAAUUCCCAAGUGAGGCUUGGGGAGUGGACGUAGGAGCAAGGGUUAGCUCCGAACCACUAUAA
rnacentral:lncRNA from 1 species